rnacentral:misc_RNA from 1 species
AACCAUAACAAUGCAGGCCUC